GAUUCUGCACGGCUCCAUCACUCCCUGGCGGGCUGCAGUAACGGCCAUGACUCUGCUCCACUUCCUGCGAUGGAUUCCGUGCGGCUCCAUCACUCCCUGGCAGACCACAAUAAUGGCCACGAUCCUGCUCCACUUCCUGCGACAGAUACCGCACGAUUCCUCCAUCCUCUGGCAAGUCGCGAUAACGGACGCCGCUCCACUCCCCACGACAGACUCCACGUGGCAUGUCCCGGUGAUAGCCACGAUUCCACUCC
rnacentral:lncRNA from 1 species